GGGUCCGCACAAGCGGUGGAGCAUGUGGUUUAAUUCGAUGAUACGCGAGGAACCUUACCUAGGCUCGAAUGCGAGUGCUACCUGCUGAAAAGCGGGGUUUCUUCGGAACACAAAGCAAGGUGCUGCAUGGUUGUCGUCAGCUCGUGCCGUGAGGUGUUGGGUUAAGUCCCGCAACGAGCGCAACCCUUAUUGCUAGUUGCCAGCAUUUAGUUGGGGACUCUAGCAAGACUGCCGGCGCAAGCCGUGAGGAAGGUGGGGAUGACGUCAAAUCAUCAUGGCCUUUAUGCCUAGGGCUACACACGUGCUACAAUGAAAAUGACAAAAAGUAACAAAAAUUUUAGUUAAUCUUUAAAAUUUUCUUAGUUCGGAUUGUAAACUGCAACUCGUUUACAUGAAGUUGGAAUCACAAGUAA
rnacentral:rRNA from 1 species